AUGACAAAACAACACUUGAACCCAGGAUUUCUUUUUUUUUCUUUUUGUUCUUUUUUUUUUUUUUUUUUUUUUUUUUUUUUUUUUUUUUUUUUUUUUGAGACAGGGUCUCGCUCUGUUGCCCAGGCUGGAGUGCAGUGGUGCAAUCACAGCUCAUUGCAGCAGCUCAGUGGUGCCUCCCACCUCACCCUCCUGAAUUUUGGCAUAUAUCUUGACAGGCAAUAAAUAAAGUUUAGA
rnacentral:lncRNA from 1 species